UACGUAGGGGGCAAGCGUUGUCCGGAAUCAUUGGGCGUAAAGAGCGUGUAGGCGGUCUGUCGCGUCGAAUGUGAAAACCCGGGGCUCAACUCCGGGCUUGCAUUCGAUACGGGCAGGCUAGAGUUCGGUAGGGGAGUCUGGAAUUCCUGGUGUAGCGGUGAAAUGCGCAGAUAUCAGGAGGAACACCGGUGGCGAAGGCGGGACUCUGGGCCGAUACUGACGCUGAGGAGCGAAAGCGUGGGGAGCGAACAGG
rnacentral:rRNA from 1 species